UACGUAGGGGGCAAGCGUUGUCCGGAAUCAUUGGGCGUAAAGCGUGUGUAGGCGGCCUUGUAAGUCCGUUCUGAAAGUCCGGGGCUCAACCCCGGGAGGCGGAUGGAUACUGCAAGGCUCGAGUACGGAAGAGGCGAGUGGAAUUCCCGGUGUAGCGGUGAAAUGCGCAGAUAUCGGGAGGAACACCAAUGGCGAAGGCAGCUCGCUGGGACGUUACUGACGCUGAGACGCGAAAGCGUGGGGAGCAAACAGG
rnacentral:rRNA from 1 species